GGCUACCGCUAUUGGAGUUCGAUUAAGCCAUGCGAGUCUAGAGGCCUAGCCUCGGCGUACCGCUCAGUAACACGUGGGUAACCUACCCUAUGCUGGGGGAUAAGCUCGGGAAACUGAGAAUAAUACCCCAUAGUCCACUACGCCUGGAACGGUGAGUGGAUCAAAGCUCCGGCGGCAUAGGAUGGGCCUGCGGCGUAUCAGGUCGUAGGGGGUGUAACGUACCCUCUAGCCGUCCACGCGUACGGGUGUUGGGAGACAUUGCCCGGAGAUGGAUUCUGAGACACGAAUCCAGACCCUACGGGGUGCAGCAGGCGCGAAAACUUGGCAAUGCGAGAAAUCGUGACCAGGGAACUCCAAGUGGCAGGGGUAAGACCCUGUCUUUUUCCGACUCUAAAUAGGUCGGCGAAUAAGGGGUGGGUAAGGACGGUGCCAGCCGCCGCGGUAAUACCGGCGCCUCAAGUGGUAGUCGCUUUUAUUGGGCCUAAAACGUCCGUAGCCGGUCUGGUACAUUCGUGGGUAAAUCAACUCGCUUAACGAGUUGAAUUCUGCGAGGACGGCCAGACUUGGGACCGGGAGAGGUGUGGGGUACUCUCAGGGUAGGGGUAAAAUCCUGUCAUCCUGAGAGGACCACCUGUUGCGAAGGCUCCACACUAGAACGGAUCCGACGGUCAGGGACGAAGCCUAGGGGCACGAACCGGAUUAGAUACCCGGGUAGUCCUAGGUGUAAACGCUGUGGACUUGAUGUUGGGGACGCUCCGAGCGUUCUCAGUGUCGAAGCGAAGGUGAUAAGUCCACUGCCUGGGGAGUACGGUCGCAAGGCUGAAACUUAAAGGAAUUGGCGGGGGAGCACCGCAACCUGAGGAUUGUGCGGUUU
rnacentral:rRNA from 1 species